rnacentral:tRNA from 2 species
CGGAUGUAGCCAANUGGAUCAAGCGCGU